rnacentral:rRNA from 1 species
UACGGGGGGAGCAAGCGUUGUUCGGAUUUACUGGGCGUAAAGGGCGCGUAGGCGGCCAGCACAAGUCAGUUGUGAAAUCUCCGGGCUUAACUCGGAAAGGUCAACUGAUACUGCGCGGCUAGAGUGCAGAAGGGGCAACUGGAAUUCUCGGUGUAGAGGUGAAAUUCGUAGAUAUUCGCAAGAACACCAGUGGCGAAGGCGGCUCACUGGCCCGAUACUGACGCUGAGGCACGAAAGCGUGGGGAGCAAACAGG